AUUGAACGCUAGCGGGAUGCCUUACACAUGCAAGUCGAACGGCAGCGCGGACUUCGGUCUGGCGGCGAGUGGCGAACGGGUGAGUAAUGUAUCGGAACGUGCCCAGUAGCGGGGGAUAACUACUCGAAAGAGUAGCUAAUACCGCAUACGCCCUACGGGGGAAAGGGGGGGAUCGCAAGACCUCUCGCUAUUGGAGCGGCUGAUAUCGGAUUAGCUAGUUGGGGAGGUAAAGGCUCACCAAGGCGACGAUCCGUAGCUGGUUUGAUAGGACGACCAGCCACACUGGGAGUGAGACACGGCCCAGACUCCUACGGGAGGCAGCAGUGGGGAAUAUUGGACAAUGGGCGCAAGCCUGAUCCAGCCAUGCCGCGUGUGUGAAGAAGGCCUUCGGGUUGUAAAGCACUUUCAGUAGGGAGGAAGCGUUGUGUGUUAAUAGUACACAGCGUUGACGUUACCUACAGAAGAAGCACCGGCUAACUCUGUGCCAGCAGCCGCAGUAA
rnacentral:rRNA from 1 species